rnacentral:rRNA from 1 species
UACGUAGGGGGCAAGCGUUGUCCGGAUUUACUGGGCGUAAAGAGCGUGUAGGCGGUCCGGUAAGUCCGCUGUGAAAGUCGGGGGCUCAACCCUCGAAUGCCGGUGGAUACUGUCGGGCUAGAGUGCGGAAGAGGCGAGUGGAAUUCCUGGUGUAGCGGUGAAAUGCGCAGAUAUCAGGAGGAACACCUAUUGCGAAGGCAGCUCGCUGGGACGUAACUGACGCUGAGAACGCGAAAGCGUGGGGAGCAAACAGG